AUACGUAGGUGACAAGCGUUAUCCGGAUUUACUGGGUGUAAAGGGCGUGUAGGCGGGAUAUUAAGUCAGGUGUGAAAACUAUGGGCUCAACCUGUAGAUUGCAUCUGAAACUGGUAUUCUUGAGUAUUGGAGAGGAAAGUGGAAUUCCUAGUGUAGCGGUGAAAUGCGUAGAUAUUAGGAGGAACACCAGUGGCGAAGGCUCCUUUCUGGCCAAAAACUGACGCUUAGAUGCGAAAGCGUGGGGAGCAAACAGUAUUAGAUACCCUGGUAGUCCACGCCGUAAACGAUGGGUACUAGGUGUUGGGUGUCAAAGCUCAGUGCCGCAGUUAACACAAUAAGUACCCCGCCUGGGGAGUACGGUCGCAAGACUAAAACUCAAAUGAAUUGACGGGG
rnacentral:rRNA from 1 species